UGGGCCGGUCGUCUAGUCUGGUAGGAUAGGUGCAUGGCAUGCAUCGGAUCAAGGGUUCAAAUCCCUUCCGGUCCACUUU
rnacentral:tRNA from 1 species